rnacentral:rRNA from 1 species
UGCACAAUGGGCGCAAGCCUGAUGCAGCGACGCCGCGUGAGGGAUGACGGCCUUCGGGUUGUAAACCUCUUUCAGUAGGGAAGAAGCCGCAAGGUGACGGUACCUGCAGAAGAAGCGCCGGCUAACUACGUGCCAGCAGCCGCGGUAAUACGUAGGGCGCAAGCGUUAUCCGGAAUUAUUGGGCGUAAAGAGCUCGUAGGCGGUUUGUCGCGUCUGCUGUGAAAGACCGGGGCUCAACUCCGGUUCUGCAGUGGGUACGGGCAGACUAGAGUGAUGUAGGGGAGACUGGAAUUCCUGGUGUAGCGGUGAAAUGCGCAGAUAUCAGGAGGAACACCGAUGGCGAAGGCAGGUCUCUGGGCAUUAACUGACGCUGAGGAGCGAAAGCAUGGGGAGCGAACAGGAUUAGAUACCCUGGUAGUCCAUGCCGUAAACGUUGGGCACUAGGUGUGGGGGACAUUCCACGUUUUCCGCGCCGUAGCUAACGCAUUAAGUGCCCCGCCUGGGGAGUACGGCCGCAAGGCUAAAACUCAAAGGAAUUGACGGGGGCCCGCACAAGCGGCGGAGCAUGCGGAUUAAUUCGAUGCAACGCGAAGAACCUUACCAAGGCUUGACAUGGACCGGACCGCUCUGGAAACAGGGCUUCCCUUCGGGGCUGGUUCACAGGUGGUGCAUGGUUGUCGUCAGCUCGUGUCGUGAGAUGUUGGGUUAAGUCCCGCAACGAGCGCAACCCUCGUUCCAUGUUGCCAGCGGGUUAUGCCGGGGACUCAUGGGAGACUGCCGGGGUCAACUCGGAGGAAGGUGGGGACGACGUCAAAUCAUCAUGCCCCUUAUGUCUUGGGCUUCACGCAUGCUACAAUGGCCGGUACAAUGGGUUGCGAUACUGUGAGGUGGAGCUAAUCCCAAAAAGCCGGUCUCAGUUCGGAUUGGGGUCUGCAACUCGACCCCAUGAAGUCGGAGUCGCUAGUAAUCGCAGAUCAGCAACGCUGCGGUGAAUACGUUCCCGGGCCUUGUACACACCGCCCGUCAAGUCACGAAAGUUGGUAACACCCGAAGCCGGUGGCCUAACCCUUUUUGGGGGGGAGCCGUCGAAGGUGGGACCGGCGAUUGGGACUAAGUCGUAACAAGGUAGCCGUACCGGAAGGUGCGGCUG